GCUUGGGCGUGACCUCCAUCUGCAAGCUAUUUAACCAGUCACACACUAGGCUAAGGAGUCUUCUGCUUGUCUCCUGGAUGCAGUGUGCGGGUGCGCUGAAGCUGCUGAUAUCUGAAAGAGUGUGCCACACGGCUGGGCCGUAGUCUGGGGAGCCGGCAGUGCAGAGCCACCGCUACUUAGUAGAGUUACCAGAGGCCCCAAGCAGUGAGGAGGCGACAACCGGCCAGCCUGUGAUCAACAGCAGACCCGUUUCUGUCGUGUUUGGCUUCGCCCCACGCAGGAAAAAGAAGUUGAGCACACCCCGCCACGAAGAGCUGCAUUCCCAUUUAACUGACCCUGAAUUUCCCCCAUUUUGAACCAACCUUGUAACUUUCUUAGCUUCAGCCUUGUUUUAACCCUUCUUAGGCCUAUUCUGUACAAAUAAACUUGGAGGUUAUAUUUUGCACA